rnacentral:rRNA from 1 species
AUUGAACGCUGGCGGCGUGCCUAAUACAUGCAAGUAGAACGCUGAAGACUUUAGCUUGCUAAAGUUGGAAGAGUUGCGAACGGGUGAGUAACGCGUAGGUAACCUGCCUACUAGCGGGGGAUAACUAUUGGAAACGAUAGCUAAUACCGCAUAACAGCAUUUAACCCAUGUUAGAUGCUUGAAAGGAGCAAUUGCUUCACUAGUAGAUGGACCUGCGUUGUAUUAGCUAGUUGGUGAGGUAACGGCUCACCAAGGCGACAAUACAUAGCCGACCUGGGAGGGUGAUCGGCCACACUGGGACUGAGACACGGCCCAGACUCCUACGGGAGGCAGCAGUAGGGAAUCUUCGGCAAUGGGGGCAACCCUGACCGAGCAACGCCGCGUGAGUGAAGAAGGUUUUCGGAUCGUAAAGCUCUGUUGUAAGAGAAGAACGUGUGUGAGAGUGGAAAGUUCACACAGUGACGGUAACUUACCAGAAAGGGACGGCUAACUACGUGCCAGCCGCCGCCGUAAAAC